rnacentral:rRNA from 1 species
UACGUAGGUGGCAAGCGUUGUCCGGAUUUACUGGGCGUAAAGAGCGCGCAGGCGGUCGAAUCAGUCGAAUGUGAAAGCCCCCGGCUCAACUGGGGAGGGUCAUUCGAUACUGUCCGACUCGAAGGCAGGAGAGGGAAGCGGAAUUCCCGGUGUAGUGGUGAAAUGCGCAGAUAUCGGGAAGAACACCCGUGGCGAAGGCGGCUCUCUGGAACGCAACUGACGCUGAGACGCGAAAGCGUGGGGAGCAAACAGG